rnacentral:lncRNA from 1 species
UUUUGAGACAGGGUCUCACUUUGUCACCCAGGCUGGAAUGCAGUAGUACAAGCAUGGCUCACUGCAGCCUCAACCUGUCAGGCUCACGCAAUCCAAGCUAUCCUCCCACCUCAGCCUCUUGAGUAGCUGGGACUACAAGUGCCUGCCACAUCUAAUUUUUUGUAUUUUUUGUAGAGAUGGAGUUUUGCCAUGUUGCCCAGGCUGGUCUCGAACUUCUGAGCGCAAGUGAUUCAUCUGCCUUAGCCUCCCAAAGUGCUGGGGUUACAUGCAUGAGCCACCAUGCCCGGCCAUAUAUCCUACUAUUCUUUAAGAUUCAGUUCAAGUUCCAUCCGUGUGUGAUGUCUCCUUGACCACUCACUGCACAAUUCUCUCCCUCAUAUGCAUAUUUUAUUUUCCUUCCAAUAGAUAUCCUGUGUUAAUUAUAUGUUAUCAUAUCGCUAAUUUCCCAGUUACAUAUAUGACAUAUCUCUUCUAGAAUACAAGCUUUGUGAGAAUAUAAUGUAUGGCAAAUACUUUCUCAUAUCUCCCAUACACCAAAUACAGCCUUACAUAUUCUGCUAUUUAAAAAACAUCAAACUGGCCGGGUGCAGUGGCUCACACCUGUAAUCCCAGCACUUUCGGAGGCUGAGGCGGGCAGAUCACCCGAGGUCAGGAGUUCGAGACCAGCCUGGCCAACAUGGUGAAACCCCGUCUCUACUAAAAAUACAAAAAUUAGCUGGGCGUGGUGGCGGGCGCCUGUUAUCCCAGCUACUCGGGAGGCUAAGGCAGGAGAAUCACUUGAACCCGGGAGGCGGAGGUUGCAGUGAGCUGAAAUUGGGCCACUGCACUCCAGCCUGGGUGACAAGAGCAAAACUCCACCUCAAAAACAAAAAACAAAAAACAAAAAACAAACAAACAAAAAAAACCUGAUUAUCAGGUCAUAAACUCCAGAGGGAUUUUCCCAAUUCUACUGUUGUCCUAGUUCUUACCUGGAUCAAAUAUGAGCGCCACAAACUGGGGUUUAGUAAUUUUCAUGUCAUUUAUACAAUUGUUUGCAUAUGAAAAAAGAAAAGAGUAACAGCUAAAUGUAACCAAAAUGUAUGAUAUAAAAGUCUAAUUAUAUUUUGAACAUCAUCUA